UCUCAUGGUUGGAGAUACUGCAAGAAUUCUGAUUCGGCACGGCCCUCAUGGAGACAAUGGAGAUGGUGUUCAGCGGUGCGCUCAGCCAGAGUUCGCCGUACGUCCGACAUUUGCUGAUUCGGCAGGGCCCUCAUGGAAACAAAUUCAGGGCGCAGAGAAACUAAUGGAGCAACCAGGAGUCCAAUCAUUUUAAGGCAGAACAUUGAACAUAUCAGUGAUCGGACACUCGAGACAACUCUUAAUGAGUUCUAGCAACCAAAGACAGAAUAUUUGCGUAGGAUGCAACAAAGCUGCAUGUCAUGAGAUUAUUGAAUACGUUGAGUAAUUUGGAAUGGAAACAUUUUUGGUUAAAUAGGAUGCUCUUGAGAUUAUUUCUCAUGCCAACAUGGCAUGCCCGAGCUAAAAAUGUGCCACCCUUUGACAGGACCAUGCCUUGUUAGAGGAGGUUUCUGGUUGGAUAAAUGAGAAGGCCAUGAUGCCUAUUUGGGCUAAGAUGACUCCUAACAUUGCAGGUAUUACGGAUGGAACUUAAGCUUCCAUAAUGCAUUUGUUGAGUAAUUAGCAGUCACAUAUCUUCUGUGUUUUUAAUUGCUAUACGGUGUCAACAAAUGAUGAGGUUCUAAAUUAUUAUUUUUAUCAUUGCCUACUUUUCAAA